rnacentral:rRNA from 1 species
UACAGAGGUCUCAAGCGUUGUUCGGAUUCAUUGGGCGUAAAGGGUGCGUAGGUGGCGCUGUAAGUCGGGUGUGAAAUUUCGGAGCUUAACUCCGAAACUGCAUUCGAUACUGCGGUGCUUGAGGACUGGAGAGGAGACUGGAAUUCCUGGUGUAGCGGUGGAAUGCGCAGAUAUCAGGAGGAACACCGGUGGCGAAGGCGGCAUCCCUGGACCGAUACUGACGUGAGGAGCGAAAGCCAGGGGAGCAAAACGGG